UUCCGCAAUGGGCGAAAGCCUGACGGAGCAACGCCGCGUGAGUGAUGAAGGUCUUCGGAUCGUAAAACUCUGUUAUUAGGGAAGAACAAAUGUGUAAGUAACUGAGCACGUCUUGACGGUACCUAACCAGAAAGCCACGGCUAACUACGUGCCAGCAGCCGCGGUAAUACGUAGGUGGCAAGCGUUAUCCGGAAUUAUUGGGCGUAAAGCGCGCGUAGGCGGUUUUUUAAGUCUGAUGUGAAAGCCCCCGGCUCAACCGUGGAGGGUCAUUGGAAACUGGAAAACUUGAGUGCAGAAGAGGAGAGUGGAAUUCCAUGUGUAGCGGUGAAAUGCGCAGAGAUAUGGAGGAACACCAGUGGCGAAGGCGGCUCUCUGGUCUGUAACUGACGCUGAUGUGCGAAAG
rnacentral:rRNA from 1 species